rnacentral:rRNA from 1 species
CCUACGGGAGGCAGCAGUGAGGAAUAUUGGACAAUGGACGAGAGUCUGAACCAGCCAAGCAGCGUGAAGGAUGACUGCUCUAUGGGUUGUAAACUUCUUUUACAUGGGAAUAAAACAGGGUAUGUAUACCCUCUUGUAUGUACCACAUGAUUAAGGAUCGGCUAAGUACGUGCCAGCAGCCGCGGUAAUACGGAGGAUCCGAGCGUUAUCCGGAUUUAUUGGGUUUAAAGGGAGCGUAGAUGGAUGGUUAAGUCAGUUGUGAAAGUUUGAGGCUCAACCGUAAAAUUGCAGUUGAAACUGGCAGUCUUGAGUACAGUAGAGGUGAGCGGAAUUCGUGGUGUAGCGGUGAAAUGCUUAGAUAUCACGAAGAACUCCGAUUGCGAAGGCAGCUCACUGGACUGCAACUGACACUGAUGCUCGAAAGUGUGGGUAUCAAACAGGAUUAGAUACCCCUGUAGUC